CCUAUUGUGUCCAAGAAAAGAAAGCUAAACAGUGGAGAGGGCUCAUCUAUUCCAACUAAGGCUAAGGGUACCAAACAGCCCCCAAAGACAAAGAAUGAGCUCAGAGAAAAGGCAAAGCUUAAAGCAGCAAAGCUGAAGAAAAAAAGGGAGGAAAAGAAGACAGGCGCAAAUGCAUCAGGUGCUAGAGCUGCAACCACAAGCAAGGUUAAAGCAUCUGCUUCUGCAACUGGAUCAACAAGGUCAUCUGUCAGAAUCAGACAAAAUGCAAAGGCUGGAAAAUAGAGGAAUUGGAGUAUGUGAUUAGCAUCCAAGGUCAGGAUAUUAGAGAUGCAUAUUGCCUACUUUUGUGCAACCUUGUGCUGUGUCACAAGGUUGCUAGUUCUAAUCUUUUGCAAAGAUGAUUAGGGCUAAUCUUUUGUGGACCUUAUUCCAAACUGAGAUUUUUUGGGUAGUUUGGAUGUAAAAUAGAUUUAUGCAUCUAUAUGGGUGCUAAUUAUGAACAUGAUUUCCAUUUCUAUUGAAGAUCUUAUUUUGGUACAAAUGUGAUAUUUUCCAGGUUUUAAGCAUACCCAUUUAAUUUUUGGUU